CAGCUUUAGGAUCCGCUCCUGUCCUGUCUCCAGAGUCUCUAGAUGAUGGUCAUGUGAACAUCAGCUGCAGGUCCAGUGGCUGGUAUCCAGAGCCCAGUGUCUCCUGGACGUCAGAUGAAGGAAGGGUUCUCCGUCCUGGAGGAACGUCUCACACUCGUGGAGCAGAUGAGAUGAUCUCUGUCCACAGCUGGACAGCCGUCUCUCUCUCAGACGCUCAACUGGUCUCAUGUUCAGUCUCUCUCAGACCUGGAGAAUUAAAAGAAGGAAGACUGAGCAUACAAGGCACUGUGUAUUCAGGUCCAUGGAAGGCUCUCUUCCUCACUUUUCUCAUCUAUGCUCUUCUGAGUUCAGUUGGGUUCAUUCUUUACAAAUACAGAGAGAAACUAAGAGGGAAGAAACCAGUAAAUAAAAG